rnacentral:misc_RNA from 1 species
AACGCACAUUGCGCCCUUUGGUAUUCCGAGGGGCAUGCCUGUUCGAGCGUCAUUUUCACCCCUCAAGCCCGGCUUGUUGUUGGACGCGGCGGCGCCUUUUGCGCCCCGCCCGUCUCAAAGAUAAUGACGGCGUCUGCGAGGACCCCUGUACACUGAGCUUUCGGGCACGUACUAGGUGUGGAAUCCAGACCCGGUCACCGUCCCCUCAGGGACAAAACUUUUAACCAGGUUGACCUCGGAUCAGGUAGGAAUACCCGCUGAACUUAA